CAGGCCUAACACAUGCAAGUCGAACGAAGGCUUCGGCCUUAGUGGCGCACGGGUGCGUAACGCGUGGGAAUCUGCCCUUAGGUUCGGAAUAACAGUUGGGAACGACUGCUAAUACCGGAUGAUGACGUAAGUCCAAAGAUUUAUCGCCUGAGGAUGAGCCCGCGUAGGAUUAGCUAGUUGGUGUGGUAAGAGCGCACCAAGGCGACGAUCCUUAGCUGGUCUGAGAGGAUGAUCAGCCACACUGGGACUGAGACACGGCCCAGACUCCUACGGGAGGCAGCAGUGGGGAAUAUUGGACAAUGGGCGAAAGCCUGAUCCAGCAAUGCCGCGUGAGUGAUGAAGGCCUUAGGGUUGUAAAGCUCUUUUACCCGGGAUGAUAAUGACAGUACCGGGAGAAUAAGCUCCGGCUAACUCCGUGCCA
rnacentral:rRNA from 1 species